rnacentral:rRNA from 1 species
UACGUAGGGAGCGAGCGUUAUCCGGAUUUAUUGGGUGUAAAGGGUGCGUAGACGGGAAAUUAAGUUAGUUGUGAAAUCCCAUGGCUCAACUGUGGAACUGCAACUAAAACUAAUUUUCUUGAGUACUGGAGAGGAAAGUGGAAUUCCUAGUGUAGCGGUGAAAUGCGUAGAUAUUAGGAGGAACACCAGUGGCGAAGGCGACUUUCUGGACAGAAACUGACGUUGAGGCACGAAAGUGUGGGGAGCAAACAGG